rnacentral:rRNA from 1 species
AGAGUUUGAUCCUGGCUCAGAAUGAACGUUGGCGGCGUGGAUUAGGCAUGCAAGUCGUGCGAGAAGUCUUUUGCUUGCAUUAGACGGAAAGCGGCGAAAGGGAGAGUAACGCGUGGAUACCUACCUCUAGGUUCGGGAUAGCUGCGGGAAACUGCAGGUAAUACCGAAUAACAUCUCCGGAUCAAAGGUGUGAUUCCGCCUGGAGACGGUUCCGCGUCCUAUUAGCUUGUUGGUGGGGUAACGGCCUACCAAGGCUACGAUGGGUACCGGGCGUGAGAGCGUGACCCGGCUCACUGGGACUGAGACACUGCCCAGACUCCUACGGGAGGCUGCAGUCGAGAAUCUUUAGCAAUGGACGAAAGUCUGACUAUGCGACGCCGCGUGCAGGAUGAAGGUUUUCGGAUCGUAAACUGCUUUUGUCAGGAAAGAACACUUAUGGGUUAAUAUCCUAUAAGCUGACGGUACCUGACGAAUAAGCCACGCCAACU